rnacentral:rRNA from 1 species
GAUGAACGCUGGCGGCGUGCCUAAUACAUGCAAGUCGAGCGAAUGGAUUAAGAGCUUGCUCUUAUGAAGUUAGCGGCGGACGGGUGAGUAACACGUGGGUAACCUGCCCAUAAGACGGGGAUAACUCCGGGAAACCGGGGCUAAUACCGGAUAACAUUUUGAACCGCAUGGUUCGAAAUUGAAAGGCGGCUUCGGCUGUCACUUAUGGAUGGACCCGCGUCGCAUAAGCUAGUUGGUGAGGUAACGGCUAACCAAGGCAACGAUGCGUAGCCGACCUGAGAGGGUGAUCGGCCACACUGGGACUGAGACACGGCCCAGACUCCUACGGGAGGCAGCAGUAGGGAAUCUUCCGCAAUGGACGAAAGUCUGACGGAGCAACGCCGCGUGAGUGAUGAAGGCUUUCGGGUCGUAAAACUCUGUUGUUAGGGAAGAACAAGUGCUAGUUGAAUAAGCUGACACCUUGACGGUACCUAACCAGAAAGCCACGGCUAACUACGUGCCAGCCGCCGCAGUAA